CAGCCGCCACGGGAAAACCAGCAGCCCAAGUGGUGGUCGCGUUUAUUGGGCCUAAAGCGCUCGUAGCCUGGCCGGUAAGUUCCCCGUGAAAUCGGGUCGCCCAACGAUUCGGCUCGCGGGGAAUACUGUCGGUCUUGGGGCCGGGAGACGCCGAGGGUACUCCGGGGGUAGCGGUGAAAUGCUGUAAUCCUCGGGGGACUACCAGUGGCGAAGGCGCUCGGCGAUAACGGGCCUGACGGUGAGGGGCGAAAGCUGGGGGCGCGAACGGGAUUAGAUACUCCGGUAGUCCCUGUCUCUUAUA
rnacentral:rRNA from 1 species